rnacentral:ribozyme from 14 species
GCUUGAAUGGAUGCUCAUUUGAAUCUCGCCAACAGAACGGGGCUCACUCUCCUCAU